rnacentral:rRNA from 1 species
CCUACGGGUGGCUGCAGUAGGGAAUCUUCCACAAUGGACGAAAGUCUGAUGGAGCAACGCCGCGCGUGUGAUGAAGGGUUUCGGCUCGUAAAACACUGUUGUAAGAGAAGAAUGACAUUGAGAGUAACUGUUCAGUGUGUGACGGUAACUUACCAGAAAGGAACGGCUAAAUACGUGCCAGCAGCCGCGGUAAUACGUAUGGUCCAAGCGUUAUCCGGAUUUAUUGGGCGUAAAGCGAGGUCAGACGGUUAUGUAAGUUCUAAGGGAAAGCCCACAGCUUAACUGUUGAAGUGCUUUGGAAACUGGAUAACUUGAGUGCAGUAGAGGAGAGUGGAAUUCCAUGUGUAGCGGUGAAAUGCGUAGAUAUAUGGAAGAACACCAGUGGCGAAGGCGGCUCUCUGGACUGUAACUGACGUUGAGGCUCGAAAGUGUGGGUAGCAAACAGGAUUAGAUACCCUAGUAGUC